GAUAUACUCCCUCCAUCCAGAAAUACUUGUCGGAGGAAUGAAUGUAUCUAGAUGUAUUUUACUUUUAGAUACAUCCAUUAUUAUUCAUUUCUGUGACAAGUAAUUCCGGACGGAGGGAGUACAAG
rfam:Hordeum vulgare subsp. vulgare, WGS project CAJW01000000 data, contig: morex_contig_1573734